AGUUAAUGAACUUGAACAAGUAUAUGUUUUGAAAACAUAUUAUAGAAAUUAAAUUUUCUAUUAACUU
rnacentral:tRNA from 1 species